CCUACGGGUGGCAGCAGUCGAGAAUCGUUCACAAUGGGGGAAACCCUGAUGGUGCGACGCCGCGUGGGGGAAUGAAGGUCUUCGGAUUGUAAACCCCUGUCAUGUGGGAGCAAAUUAAAAAGAUAGUACCACACGAGGAAGAGACGGCUAACUCUGUGCCAGCAGCCGCGGUAAUACAGAGGUCUCAAGCGUUGUUCGGAAUCACUGGGCGUAAAGCGUGCGUAGGCUGUUUCGUAAGUCGUGUGUGAAAGGCGCGGGCUCAACCCGCGGACGGCACAUGAUACUGCGAGACUAGAGUAAUGGAGGGGGAACCGGAAUUCUCGGUGUAGCAGUGAAAUGCGUAGAUAUCGAGAGGAACACUCGUGGCGAAGGCGGGUUCCUGGACAUUAACUGACGCUGAGGCACGAAGGCCAGGGGAGCGAAAGGGAUUAGAUACCCCAGUAGUC
rnacentral:rRNA from 1 species